GAGAGUUUGAUCCUGGCUCAGAUUGAACGCUGGCGGCAGGCCUAACACAUGCAAGUCGAGCGGUAGAGAGAAGCUUGCUUCUCUUGAGAGCGGCGGACGGGUGAGUAAUGCCUAGGAAUCUGCCUGGUAGUGGGGGAUAACGUUCGGAAACGGACGCUAAUACCGCAUACGUCCUACGGGAGAAAGCAGGGGACCUUCGGGCCUUGCGCUAUCAGAUGAGCCUAGGUCGGAUUAGCUAGUUGGUGGGGUAAUGGCUCACCAAGGCGACGAUCCGUAACUGGUCUGAGAGGAUGAUCAGUCACACUGGAACUGAGACACGGUCCAGACUCCUACGGGAGGCAGCAGUGGGGAAUAUUGGACAAUGGGCGAAAGCCUGAUCCAGCCAUGCCGCGUGUGUGAAGAAGGUCUUCGGAUUGUAAAGCACUUUAAGUUGGGAGGAAGGGCAGUAAAUUAAUACUUUACUGUUUUGACGUUACCGACAGAAUAAGCACCGGCUAACUCUGUGCCAGCAGCCGCGGUAAUACAGAGGGUGCAAGCGUUAAUCGGAAUUACUGGGCGUAAAGCGCGCGUAGGUGGUUAGUUAAGUUGGAUGUGAAAUCCCCGGGCUCAACCUGGGAACUGCAUUCAAAACUGACUGACUAGAGUAUGGUAGAGGGUGGUGGAAUUUCCUGUGUAGCGGUGAAAUGCGUAGAUAUAGGAAGGAACACCAGUGGCGAAGGCGACCACCUGGACUGAUACUGACACUGAGGUGCGAAAGCGUGGGGAGCAAACAGGAUUAGAUACCCUGGUAGUCCACGCCGUAAACGAUGUCAACUAGCCGUUGGGAGCCUUGAGCUCUUAGUGGCGCAGCUAACGCAUUAAGUUGACCGCCUGGGGAGUACGGCCGCAAGGUUAAAACUCAAAUGAAUUGACNGGGGGCCCCCCACAAGCGGUGGA
rnacentral:rRNA from 1 species